rnacentral:lncRNA from 1 species
CCUGGAGUAAGCCGGCAGUGCUAACAGAGUAUCAGUAGAGCUUCACAGAUUACCUAUUUUAUAUUGUGUGAGUGUUUUUUAAGGGAGGAUUUGGUUAUUUCUCUAUGUAAUAGACAAUCAGGGCUUCUCAGUUGUCUUCCACUUAUUCUUUAUACUUUAGUUUUCAAUUAUUCUUUUAUUGAUUCAACAUUUACAGAAAAUCUACUCUUGUCAGACCACUGUGCUAGUCAUAGGAUAUAGAAGAUGAAUAUUAUACAAAUAGAACUCACUAUUUGCCCUUUCCGAAUUCACAACCACACACACCUGCUUCUUCUGUAUCAAGGAUGCUUAAAUUAUAUUAUGUGGAUGGCCAAAUCCUGAAGUAUCAGGAUUUGCUGGUCUAGAAGUUUUAGUUAACAAUGAGGAAAUGCUUCUGGCAGGAGAUACAGCAAUGGUUCCACAAACUGGAAGUUGAAAAUCUCCCUGGAA